UUCCCUUCGUCUCCCACUUCCUUUCUCUCUUACAUAGAAAAACUUUGCAAAAAAAAAAAUUGAUCCUCCACAUCCUCUGCUUUUCACUCUAUCCUUCCAAUACUAGUUAACAAUAAUCUCCAUGACUCAUUCCUAUGUUUCCUUCUCUAAAUUACUCACCAUCAUGCUUUCACCUUUAGGGUUUUAUGCAAUCUCUUAUUAUCAUUUACCAAACCCUAGGUCUAUUUUUUAGUUCAAUCUUUGAUCAAAACCAUAACUUGUUCCUAUCAGUUUUCGAUUUGAACAAAUACCAUUAAAACCCCUUAACCUAAUUGAAGAAACCCCUCACAGAAUACUGAGAUUUUUUCAUCUAUAAUGAACAUUCAACUGAUUUUUUUUUCUUUUUGCAUUUUUUUGUUAGGGUUUUUGUUGAUAGGGGUGCAAAUCUAACUGAUUUUAGCUCUAUGGGUUAUUUAGGAUUUAUAAUUUCUUAUUGUUGAAUGAAAUUUUGUUUUUUUUUUUUACUCAGUUGGGGUUUUGUUAUAUCUCGAACUGUUAACUAAGAUCUCUAAUGAUUACUCUCUGACUGAAAUUUCGGUUUGUUUUAAAAUCUUAUCCAUGUUGUUUCAAUUUCUCUCAAUUUGUCAACAUAAAUGAAGCCUGUAACGUGUUUUAAUUUUUAUAUUUGUGUGAUUUAUGUUCAUAGAGACUUAAUGGGAGAUUUUUUUUCUGGAUCCCCACUACUUCAGUAUAUGUUGAUGAUAUUUGACUUUGGACUGAUUAUGUUCAGCUUCCUUUUGUUAUGCUCUUGUUUGUGUAUGCUAAAUAGUAGUUUUGAUUUUCUCAUCUCUCUUGAAGUUAGGAUUACCUAAUACACUAAGCUUGAAUCUGAGGAAUUUAUGAUCAUAUUACCAGUAUCAUUCAUCGGUAGAAGAGGACGGAAGAAGACUGUUGAAAUGAAGCUUACCUUAUACAGAUUGAGAUUAUGAGCAAUUUUACAGAUCUCGAUUCUUUAUGUUACCUACCCUAAAAGCUUGGUACUUAUCUGUACAUAUAUAGGUGAUGCUGAAUUUGGAUAUGUCGAUGAAAUUGAUGAACAAUAAGAGGAUGAUAUAUGGAGAAGAGUCUUACGGGAGAGAACAAAGAAUGAACUAUGCCUAAAGGAAGUCCCAUGUUGAGGCACUAAACUGAUUUCUCAAUUUUUUUGUUUUGUUGUUUAUAUUCAUCAACAUUACAGUGCUUAAUUGUCAAAAUUGCAGGUGGUUGAUAGAAGUUUGUUGAGUCAUGAGGUAAAGGGACAUUCGAGUUACAGUGGGAGGAGGAAAUCAUAAUUACACAUUGAAGUAAACUUGCCAUUACAAUUAUCCAUCUCAUUUAUUACAGUUAAUUUAGUCAUUUAUCUACUGUAUUUUAUAGGCUGAAAUGCAGUGUGAGAGGUACAUUAUUGCUCUAGUGUGCUAGUCUUGAAAAUGGGCAUGCUUGUGACGAUAGAAUCAUUUAAAGUCAGGUAACUAAUAUUGUUUUCGGGUUAUAAAAUGCUUCUGACUUUCUCAGCUUGAGCAUGUUAAUUUUCAAAAUCUGAAUGCUAAGUGUAGAUUAUUGGUAAGGUUUGCAAUCCUGUCUGUUUAAUUUCUAACUGGAAACUUGGUUCUCUCUACUACAUACGCCAUGUCUCUGGAUUGUAGGUUAGGGACAAUGUUAGUGAGUCCAAUUUGGAAUAACUCUCGUAUGCAUUGUUGUUUUAGGUACACACCCUCCUAGUUCAUAUUGAAAAACGUGUUUUAGAAUCUCCCAAAAGAUCAUGCCUAAAUGUAAAUGCUUAUGAAGAUCUAUAUGUGUUAUUGCAUCCGCAACUUCAUCUCCGGUAAUUUCAACAUUUGUUUCUGACAACGAGUAUUAAGAUGGAGAUCAUGUAAUAAUUAUUGAAUGAAUACUUGAAUUUUGCUUCUUUGUAUUUUCUCUAUGUACAUGGAGAUAUCAACACAUGGUCAUCUCUUCAUGUUAUCAGGAAACAAGCUAAAUCUAAAGAUUGAAGAAUGUUGUCAGAUCAGUUUGGAAGAUUAUUAACCUUGAUAAGGAAGAUGACGUGUUUUGGUAAAUAAUGCAAGGAGAGUCAAAGCCGUAGACUCACAAUUGUUGAUCCAGUAACUAUUUGUACAUUUCUCGAGGUCUGUAAUCCUCUCUGUUGUAGGUAUACUAUUCUGGUCAGUUGGGCAGCCCAGUUCAUCGUUUUGAUGGUUUUUUAUUUCAUCGUCUGUAGGUUGGUUUCCACCAAAAGUAAGAAAAUACAUCUUUAAGAAACUAAGAAACUAAAAUGAUGUGAAUUCAGUAGUUGUGUAGAGUUUUAUGUGGUUUUGAACUAAGUGUCAGUUCAAUUCACAUGUGAAUUCACUUUAUAUUGUACAAUAAAUUUCAAAUUUUGAAUGAAAUGGUGAAUGUUAUGAUAUGUUUAUGUAA